rnacentral:rRNA from 1 species
GACGAACGCUGGCGGCGUGCUUAACACAUGCAAGUCGAACGGUGAACCAGAGCUUGCUCUGGGGAUCAGUGGCGAACGGGUGAGUAACACGUGGGCAACCUGCCCAGACUCUGGGAUAACCUCGGGAAACCGAUGCUAAUACCGGAUACGACCACUUCGGACAUCCGACGGUGGUGGAAAGUUUUUCGGUCUGGGAUGGGCCCGCGGCCUAUCAGCUAGUUGGUGGGGUAAUGGCCUACCAAGGCGACGACGGGUAGCCGGCCUGAGAGGGCGACCGGCCACACUGGAACUGAGACACGGUCCAGACUCCUACGGGAGGCAGCAGUGGGGAAUAUUGCACAAUGGGCGAAAGCCUGAUGCAGCGACGCCGCGUGAGGGACGACGGCCUUCGGGUUGUAAACCGUCUUUCAGCAGGACGAAGCGAAAGUGACUGUACCUGCAGAAGAAGCACCGGCUAACUACGUGCCAGCAGCCGCGGUAAGU